UCUCUGGUGAUCCAGUGGUUAAGACUCUGCACUUCCAAUGAAGUGGACACAGGUUUGAUUCCUGGUCGGGGAA
rnacentral:tRNA from 1 species